rnacentral:rRNA from 1 species
UGACGGAUCACGCCGGUGAUGAGAGGUUCGGAUCGUAAACCUGUUGUAGGGAAGACAGGCUAUAAUGAUGGCACCUUGACGGUACCUAACCAGAAAGCCACGGCUAACUACGUGCCAGCAGCCGCGGUAAUACGUAGGUGGCAAGCGUUGUCCGGAAUUAUUGGGCGUAAAGCGCUCGCAGGCGGUUCUUUAAGUCUGAUGUGAAAUCUUACGGCUUAACCGUAAACGUGCAUUGGAAACUGGGGAACUUGAGUGCAGAAGAGGAGAGUGGAAUUCCACGUGUAGCGGUGAAAUGCGUAGAGAUGUGGAGGAACACCAGUGGCGAAGGCGACUCUCUGGUCUGUAACUGACGCUGAGGAGCGCAAGCGUGGGGAGCGAACAGGAUUAGAUACCCUGGUAGUCCACGCCGUAAACGAUGAGUGCUAGGUGUUAGGGGGUUUCCGCCCCUUAGUGCUGAAGUUCACGCAUUAAGCACUCCGCCUGGGGAGUACGGGCGCCAGGCUGAAACUCACACGAAUUGACGGGGGCCCGCACAAGCGGUGGCG